rnacentral:rRNA from 1 species
UAUAGACCUCACUUACUCGCGCGUCUGUAAAUAUUAAAUGACAGCACACACCACUCCAACGACCGAAUAAACACGGGGCACAACAACCUCCGUGGCACUGGAUCUCUCGCGCUAGUACUAUAAUACACGUAGGGGCCCACCCCCAGGAUUUCACCCCCCGGCAACAUCCCUGCCACCCCAUGAUCGAUAGUAAUGUGAAUUGCAGAAAUUCAGUGAAUCAUCGAAUCUUUGAACGCACAUUGCGCCCCGGCAGUAUUCUGCCGGGCAUGCCUGUUCGAGCGUCAUUUCAACCCUCAAGCCCCCGGGCUUGGUGUUGGAGAUCGGCCCGCCCCUGCGGCAGGCCGGCUCCGAAAUCCAGUGGCGGUCCCGCCGUAACUUCCUCUGCGUAGUAGCAAUAUCUCGCACCGGAAAGCGACGGAGCCUUGCCGUAAAACCCCCAACUUCUGAAGGUUGACCUCGGAUCAGGUAGGAAUACCCGCUGAACUUAAGCAUAUCAAUAAGCGGAGGAAAAGAAACCAACAGGGAUUGCCCUAGUAACGGCGAGUGAAGCGGCAACAGCUCAAAUUUGAAAUCUGGCCUUCGGGUCCGAGUUGUAAUUUGUAGAGGAUGCUUUUGGUGCGGUGCCUUCCGAGUUCCCUGGAACGGGACGCCAUAGAGGGUGAGAGCCCCGUCUGGUUGGAUACCAAUCCUCUGUAAAGCUCCUUCGACGAGUCGAGUAGUUUGGGAAUGCUGCUCUAAAUGGGAGGUAUAUGUCUUCUAAAGCUAAAUACCGGCCAGAGACCGAUAGCGCACAAGUAGAGUGAUCGAAAGAUGAAAAGCACUUUGAAAAGAGGGUUAAACAGUACGUGAAAUUGUUGAAAGGGAAGCGCUUGUGACCAGACUUGGGCAUGGUUAAUCAUCCAGCGUUCUCGCUGGUGCACUUGGCCUGCCCAGGCCAGCAUCAGUUCGGUGCGGGGGAUAAAGGCUUCGGGAAUGUGGCUCCUCCGGGAGUGUUAUAGCCCGUUGUGCAAUACCUUGCGCUAUGCAGAACGCAGCGCAUCUGCAUGAUGCUGACAUC